UACGUAGGGACCAAGCGUUGUUCGGAUUUACUGGGCGUAAAGGGCGCGUAGGCGGCGUGUCAAGUCAAUUGUGAAAUCUCCGAGCUUAACUCGGAACGGUCAAUUGAUACUGAUGUGCUAGAGUGCAGAAGGGGCAAUCGGAAUUCUUGGUGUAGCGGUGAAAUGCGUAGAUAUCAAGAGGAACACCUGAGGUGAAGACGGUCUGCUGGGCAGUUUCUGACACUGAUGCGCGACAGCGUGGGGAGCAAACAGG
rnacentral:rRNA from 1 species